UGAGGACGGCACAGAGAAAGACUGGAACAGAAAACACACGGAGGAAAGCAGGUUGAACAUGGAAGCAGUGUUCUAGCAGUCGGGUCACAUUGGAAAAGAAUCCAUCCACACGUGUUUGGAGGAGCUGAAGAAGAGGAUGGAGCACACAGACC